CCUACGGGUGGCUGCAGUGAGGAAUAUUGGUCAAUGGGCGCGAGCCUGAACCAGCCAAGUCGCGUGAGGGAAGACGGUCCUAUGGAUUGUAAACCUCUUUUGUCGGGGAGCAAAAGACGCCACGCGUGGCGCUCCGAGAGUACCCGAAGAAACAGCAUCGGCUAACUCCGUGCCAGCAGCCGCGGUAAUACGGGGGAUUCGCGCGUUAUCCGGAUUUAUUGGGUUUAAAGGGUGCGAGGGCGGAAGAUCAAGUCGGCGGUAAAAGUGCGGGGCUCAACCUCGUCGUGCCGUUGAAACUGGUUUGCUUGAGUGAGGGGGAAGUAUGCGGAAUGCGUGGUGUAGCGGUGAAAUGCAUAGAUAUCACGAAGAACUCCGAUUGCGAAGGCAGCUUACCGGAGCUCAACUGACGCUGAUGCACGAAAGUGUGGGUAUCGAACAGGAUUAGAUACCCGUGUAGUC
rnacentral:rRNA from 1 species